CGCUGGCGGCAUGCUUUACACAUGCAAGUCGAACGGCAGCACGGGCUUCGGCCUGGUGGCGAGUGGCGAACGGGUGAGUAAUAUAUCGGAACGUACCCAAGAGUGGGGGAUAACGUAGCGAAAGUUACGCUAAUACCGCAUACGAUCUAUGGAUGAAAGUGGGGGAUCGCAAGACCUCAUGCUCCUGGAGCGGCCGAUAUCUGAUUAGCUAGUUGGUGAGGUAAAGGCUCACCAAGGCGACGAUCAGUAGCUGGUCUGAGAGGACGACCAGCCACACUGGAACUGAGACACGGUCCAGACUCCUACGGGAGGCAGCAGUGGGGAAUUUUGGACAAUGGGCGCAAGCCUGAUCCAGCAAUGCCGCGUGAGUGAAGAAGGCCUUCGGGUUGUAAAGCUCUUUUGUCAGGGAAGAAACGGUAGGGGCUAAUAUCCUUUGCUAAUGACGGUACCUGAAGAAUAAGCACCGGCU
rnacentral:rRNA from 1 species